rnacentral:piRNA from 1 species
UGUAGCGGUUAAACCAUUCCCACCC